AUGAAGUUGCCUGUUCUGCUGUUGGUGCUGCUGUUGUUCAGGAUUCCUGCUUCAACAGGAGAUGUUGUGAUGACCCAAACUCCAUCCUCCUUGCCUGCCAGUCUUGGAGAUGAAGUCUCCAUCUCUUGCAAGUCUAGUCAGAACCUCAAAGAUAGUUAUGGAAACACCUAUUUGGAAUGGUACCUGCAGAAGCCAGGCAAGUCUCCACAGCUCCUCAUCUAUGAGAUUUCCAAUCGAUUUUCUGGGGUCCCAGACAGGUUCAGUGGCAGUGGGUCAGGAACAGAAUUCACACUCAAGAUCAGCAGAGUGGAGCUUGAGGAUUUGGGAGUUUAUUACUGCAUGCAAGAGUCCUUUUCUGCCCAUGUCACUAAAAAUUAG